GACUUGAUUGGCUAUUAGGUUUUUGGCUCUUGAAUGAAGGGAUGUGCAGUUAGGAUGAUAAUGGUUCCUAGUUAGGAUGCUAGUGGUCCUCUAGGGUUGAGUGGGUGAUUGGUAGAAUAAUAUGAUCUAAUAGGUGGAUAUGGUCAAAGGGGUAGAUCUAACGGCGAAAAACUUGAUAGUAGCAAACGCUUGGUAUUAUCGAUAGUAUAUAUGUAGAGUCCAGCUACUAUCAUCUAAUAGAAUUUUUUGUCCGAUCAAAUUUUUUUUUUGAUGAUUGGGAUUGCAAAUUGAUAAUCGGAACUAUUGAAAUUGAUCUACACUAUUAGAAAUAUUUAGAAACCAAAUUUUGUAGUUUUAAAAAAUUAUUAUUAAGUUUAUCGAAGAGUCCAAAAAUAAACAGUCAAGAACGAAAAACCUUUUAGGGCUUGUUUGGUUCAUCCAUUUUGGGUAUGGAAUGGGAAUCGGUUUGAUCAAAUCCGGUUAAUUUUGUUUGGUUCGCAUAAAUCGGUUUGGGAUUCCUAUUCCGGACUGGAAUGGGAAUGGCCCAUUAGCCUUCAACUUGAUUCCGGUCUUCUAGCCCGGAUUGAGAUUUCAUUCCGGAAGCCCACUAAGUUCUCGAAGCCCAUGUGACCAUCUCACUCUCCUUCUCUUCACCCCUUUCUCAUCCAAAAAAAAAAAAAUCUAUCCUCUCUCAAAACCCUAUUCCUAACCCACAUCAAUAAGGACUUGUGAAUAGUUUUUAAAAAUAAAUUUGAUUUUUUUUGGAAAACUUAUUAGAGAAUAGUAUUAUAUUUUUCAUAAAUUUUAAAUAAUAUAAAUUUAUAUUUGAGAGUAAAAUUAGUAUUAUAGUAUUCUAUAAUUUUUUUAGUUUAUACGAAUCAAACAAUGAAAUGUGAAUAACUCAUUCCAAUUCCCAAUCCACAAAUAAACCAAACGUCUUGGGGGAGUGGGCCAUUCCAAUUACCAUUCCAAUUCAUUCCCAUUCCAUUAUCCAUUCCAAUUCCACCCUUGAACCAAACAAGCCCUUAAAAUAGAAGUUAGACUUUCUUAAUUCAUGAUCAUAAUUAUCAAACGUUAUUUAAAUAGUAUAAAAAUUUUUCUAAUAAAAAAUUCAAAUGAUUUGAAUUGCUUUAUACCAUUAAAUAGGCAAAUGGCUCAUAUAAAUCCUAAAAAAUUGUCGAUCUUGCGAUUCUUUAAUCACUAUAUAAAUAAUUUUAAAUUUAAUAAAAUUUAGUUUCUAGAUACUCUAAAUACUCUCGAUUAAUUUCAACAGUAACGAUUAUCGAUUUGAAAUCUCUAUCAUCGAAAACAACUUGAUUGAAUAAUGUAUAAUUGGAUUCUUUAUAUAU
rnacentral:lncRNA from 1 species